AUACGGAGGAUCCGAGCGUUAUCCGGAUUUAUUGGGUUUAAAGGGUGCGCAGGCGGCCAUUUAAGUCAGCGGUUAAAUCGUGGGGCUCAACCCCAUUCUGCCGUUGAUACUGGGUGGCUUGAUUGCGGUCGAGGUUGGCGGAAUUCGUUGUGUAGCGGUGAAAUGCAUAGAUAUGACGAAGAACACCGAUUGCGUAGGCAGCUGACCAGACCGCAAAUGACGCUCAUGCACGAAAGUGCGGGGAUCGAACAGGCUUAGAUACCCUGGUAGUCCGCACAGUAAACGAUGAAUACUUGUUUUCGGCGAUAUAAUGUCGGAGGCAAAGCGAAAGCGAUAAGUAUUCCACCUGGGGAGUACGCCGGCAACGGUGAAACUCAAAUGAAUGGGCGGGG
rnacentral:rRNA from 1 species